UACGAAGGGUGCAAGCGUUACUCGGAAUUACUGGGCGUAAAGCGUGCGUAGGUGGUUUGUUAAGUCUGCUGUGAAAGCCCCGGGCUCAACCUGGGAAUGGCAGUGGAUACUGGCAAGCUAGAGUGCGGUAGAGGGGUGUGGAAUUCCCGGUGUAGCGGUGAAAUGCGUAGAGAUCGGGAGGAACACCAGUGGCGAAGGCGGCGACCUGGGUCGAGACUGACGCUGAGGCGCGAAAGCGUGGGGAGCAAACAGG
rnacentral:rRNA from 1 species